GCCUGGUUAGCUCAGUCAGUAGAGCAUGAGAUUCUUAAUCACAGGCCCGUGUGUUCGAGCCCGACAUUGGGUG